rnacentral:rRNA from 1 species
UACGUAGGGGGCUAGCGUUGCUCGGAAUCACUGGGCGUAAAGCGCACGUAGGCGGAUUGUUAAGUCGGGGGUGAAAUCCUGGAGCUCAACUCCAGAACUGCCUUUGAUACUGGCGAUCUCGAGUCCGGGAGAGGUGAGUGGAACUGCGAGUGUAGAGGUGAAAUUCGUAGAUAUUCGCAAGAACACCAGUGGCGAAGGCGGCUCACUGGCCCGGUACUGACGCUGAGGUGCGAAAGCGUGGGGAGCAAACAGG